rnacentral:rRNA from 1 species
CGAGUUUGAUCAUGGCUCAGAUUGAACGCUGGCGGCAUGCCUUACACAUGCAAGUCGAACGGCAGCACGGGAGCAAUCCUGGUGGCGAGUGGCGAACGGGUGAGUAAUAUAUCGGAACGUGCCCAGUCGUGGGGGAUAACGUAGCGAAAGCUACGCUAAUACCGCAUACGAUCUAUGGAUGAAAGCGGGGGAUCGCAAGACCUCGCGCGAUUGGAGCGGCCGAUAUCAGAUUAGGUAGUUGGUGAGGUAAAGGCUCACCAAGCCGACGAUCUGUAGCUGGUCUGAGAGGACGACCAGCCACACUGGGACUGAGACACGGCCCAGACUCCUACGGGAGGCAGCAGUGGGGAAUUUUGGACAAUGGGCGCAAGCCUGAUCCAGCAAUGCCGCGUGAGUGAUGAAGGCCUUCGGGUUGUAAAGCUCUUUUACUCGGGACGAUAAUGACGGUACCGAGAGAAUAAGCCCCGGCUAACUCCGUG